UCAAAACAAGAUAAUCUAUUCUAUUCAUGGUUCAAUUAAAGAAACAAACUUGCUCAAUGGAGUAGUAUCAACUUUAGUAUCCAAUCUGCAGAGUAAUAUAUAUUCCUUAGACUAUGAUUAUAAAACUGGAUAUAUUUUUUUCCCGAGGCAUAAUAAAGACGACAUUUUGAGGUUUCGUUAUCCAUCUGAUACAGCUUAUAGCACUAAAUUGGUAAUAAGUGCAAGGGAACCAAUAGCUCUGGUUAUUGACCCGCUAUUGAAUCAUGUGUAUUGGACAGAAAUAUACCAACAAAAGAUCUAUAGAUGUAAUUUUGAUGGGACAAAUAAGAACUUCAUUCUGCAAGAUGAUCAACUAUAUGCUAUUACAUUAGAUUACGUAAACAGCUGGCUGUACUAUAGUACAAAGACAUACAAAAUAAGAAGAUCAAGAUUAAAUGGUCCUGACAAACAGACCCUCAAAGAGUUGGUAGAUGUAACUGGUUUGGGUAUAGAUAAUAACAAAAAACGACUGUAUUGGAUGGAAUAUCAAAGAGGAGAUUUGGAAUCUUCUGAUCUCAAUGGAACAAAUGCUUUCAAAGUAGUCAGCACGAAUAAAACAAGAACAAACAUAGGCGUUUAUGUUUAUGGUAGCAAAAUAUAUUGCUCAAAUGGUAAUCAAAUAUUAAAAGUCACAGUAUCACCAGUAACAAUGGCAGAGGUCGUACAUAGAGAUACAGAGACAAUUCAUGGUGUACUUUUUUUAUGAUGGUAAGAAUAUACUUAUUGGAAGAAAAGGGUAAAGAUAAAUUUUCUGACAUAUUCGUAUACUGUUUAUAUGUUUCAGUCAAUCAAGACAAAAUCUCAUUAACGUUACCAAUUUUUCUGCACAAGAUGCACAUUUCCACAAUACAUGAGCUUCGUCGGAUAGAAAUCGACCUCAUGCACAUGAUUAUCAAUACAUCUAUUAACUUAUUUUGGGUUGAAAAAAUAUCUUUGCAAAAUCUGUAACUGUUUGAAAAUUAGGUCGAUAUAAGAUUCCUACAAAAUAGACCAAAAAGUAUCUUUUAUUUCGUAUCUGACUGUUCCAAAAUCAUUCAAAGUAUGAUACAUGUACAUGAAAACGUGCAUUAGUCGAUUUCUAUCCGAUGCAGAUCACAUGUCUCUUCAGUGAAUAUAUGGCCGAAAUAUUUGAAAAUCAAAAACUUAAUGAAAAAAAAAAAAAAUGAAGAGCUUAUAAACCAAAAAGAACAUAAGGUAAAGCCAAAGCCAGGCAAGGAAUCAUAGCUUUGAAUGAGAGGAUUAUCAGUCCCAUAAACAAAAUCGCCUUAAAACAUGUGGGUAUUUCUGAACGAAUCAAUUCAUAUAUGAUUGGCAAUGUCUUUUAAUUUGAUUUUAUAAAAUUCAAUGUGUGUAAAUAAUGACUUGUUAAGAAGAAUGAAUAAGUAUGUACAAAUGUAUGUUAGUCUGUGAAUGAGAAAAUUGCAUGCAGACACACAAUGCAUAUUGCACAAUAAGAAUAAAUUGUACACGUAAUUUGAUAAAAAAAAUGUUUGCAAUUAAUGUUUGAUUUAUCGACCUAAAUAUAUUAUGCAUAUCAUAUAUGUAAUUUAAAUAAUUUCAUCUGCAACUUGUAUGUAUCAUUAAUUAACGAUGUCUAACCUUUUUGUAUGUGUCUUCGUCUCAAUAUUGUGAAAUAGUUAUGUACGGUUUGUACGUGCAUGCAUCUAUAUAAUCAACGUUAUCUCGUAGCUAUUAAUUCGUAUUUAAUUAACAAAAUUUACAGGUUAACUAACACUAUUAUCUAGCUUAAUGAAUGCAGUAACGGUUGUUUAUGAAUAUGAGAGAGCAGUCUUUUAUUGACGUUCCCAUUUGGAUUUCAGCUAUGAGUAAUCAAUAAUAAAAAAAAAUAGACGAAAAAAUAAUACAAACGAAUAAACUUAUCCUACUUUGUAGUAUUACAGAGGGACGCAUAUAGUUCGUUCUACCUCAUAAUCACGAGUUUUAAAUUUUAUUUACUAAUAAUGUUUCAAUCGAUACAUAUUUAAGUUUUAUGUUAAUACAUGUUUGUAAUACAUUUAGAUAAGAUGGGCAAAAGAUAUCAGAGGGACAUUAAAACUCAAAAAUCGAAAAUAAACUGACAACUCCAUGGCUAAAAAAGAAAAAUAACAAACACACAAAAAAUAGUACACAAAACACAACAUAGAAAACUAAAGACUAAGCAAAACGAACCCAACCAAAAAAUAGGGGUAAUCUUAGGUGAUCCAGAAGGGUAGGCAGAUCCUGCUCCAUAAUUGGCAUCCGUCGUGUUGCUCAUGUUAGGACAAACCCGAUAACUAGUCUACUUCGAUAGGUCAUAGAAAUAUCGUGUUUGCCCCUUUUUCCAUACAGAUUUGAACUACAUACAUUCACACAACCUUAUUUCAUUCACUAAAACGACAUAAGUGACAUGUAACAUUGUAUAUUAUGAUUAAGACGUUUUCUAAAUACUUUAUGACACGUUUACAUCAUGUCUAUAUUACACGAUGUGUUAUUGGUUUAGUUUGACUAAUUUGAUAAUGUCAUAUUUGAAAUAAACCUUGUACUCACUUUUGCUUUUUUUCCAAUAAUAUUUUCAUGAAAACAAAAUAUUCCUUCCAUGAACAAAUGAUUUUCAAAUAAAUGACCAUUAUCUCAUGAAUUAAUUGAUAUUUGAUUAAACAUGUCUCUAAAUUUGCACAUGUUAGUAUGUUGAGUUGAAUCAUACAUAUGUUUUAUAUAUCUAAUUUUAACGAAUUGAUUCAUGUUUUCCUUUUUCAUUUAAAGAAAUGUUUAAAACGUCUAUAUAUGAGGUAUUCACAAACAUAACCUUAAUUAAUUCCACUGACAUCCAAAGGUGAGUAAUAUUUUAUGUUUUUUUUAAUUCAAAACUUAUUAUAGAAACGUCUAAAAAAAUGUUUUAAAGUACAUCAGCACAAGCAAAUGAUUAUAAUUUUGAAUAAAGAAAUAUUUUUUCAUGUCACAAUACACACAUUUAAACUAAAAACACUAUUACCCUAUGAUUGUUUUUCGCGCAUAUGCGUUGAUAUUGGCAAGUUUGGAUCAACUGCAUAACAGUUUGUUAUCCGCAGACUAGACUUUACAAAGUACACCACAUUACACAAACACUAGUCUACAAAAAAACAAAAUACAUAAUAGAAGUAACAAAAAAAAAAAAAACAGAAAAAAAAACAGAGGAUAUAGGGUAUUUAACGAUGACAAAAAAUCAGUACAUAUAAGUUUUUGUGAUAUUAUAUGGAUAUACAAAAGUGUUUACAUGAACCUACUGUUUUACCUGUAUUUUUAACAUAGACAUUUAUUUUUUUCAGUCGAAGAUUUUGCUUAACACAUCUGACUUACAGUUGAGAAAGAUUAUGCAAUAUCUUGACUAACCAUUCUUGUUCCUGUUGUAUAUAUCCUACAUUAUAUGUCGGCAGUGAAAAUAAUUGGUCGUUAUUACUCUUCCUGAACUUAAAAAUGAAAAAUGGUACGAUAGAAGGACGUUGGAGUUUGUAAUGGAACACACUGCAUGUCGGUUAGACCGCGACGGAGCCCAACUAUGGAGUGAUAUCGUACAGUAAUUCUAACUUUCAUCAAAAGAAUGAUUACGACGACUUUCAUUAAUUUUACUGAAACAUUUAAAGGAAUAAAAAAAGAUAAUGAGCAUGCAAGAAUUAGGACCACAGAACAUCUCCAAUACACACUAGUGACUCACAGUCGGACAAUCGAGUGAAUGUUACAAGGAAUAUGAUGUUAAUUAUAAAUAUAUAAAACAUGGGACAUUCGAAUCGGUAAAUUGUGAUUACAUAUUAAAGCAUUAUCCAUACUGCCGACGUAUUCGGGACAAUGGUAUCAAUAGACCAAAGCGAAAUAUAUGUCAACUUGUGUUGAAAAUAGUUCUAAAAUAAACUCGAACUGAUUUAACUGGCAAAUAUGUAUGAUAAUCAAAAGCAAAAAAACGUCUACCGUAUUCAAAUAAAAAAGGCGAUUUGGUAGUUGAACCAAGAUGUGAACUAAAGUACAUAUGCAUACACCAAUCAAGAUGCAUAAAUGACAGACGUAUAAAUGAGUGGUUAAGUUAGAUUCUUAAGAGCUUUCAUUGAGGGAUUUAUAAAAUGUUGGUGUUUGAGUGAAUGUAUUCUGAGAUGCAUUAUACACAUAACAUUAUUUACACGGGUAAAAGCGGGAAGUUUAAAUUGAGAAUAGCUAAUGCCCAUGCUCCUUACAGUGGACAAUACGUCAGAAUGUGCAUGCAUUUAACAAAAUGUGUAUGAUGCCGUGAUGCAAUUAUAUUACACCAUCCAAAAUAUAUUGCAGCUUAUAUAAUAUAUUUUGUUGCAUCAUUUAUUGACAGGGGAUUCAUAAACGCAAUACUUUGAAUUCGGUAAAUAAGUUCGCAAAACAGUCAAUGCAUACUGUUUUUUUUUUGGCUUACAUGUUCGAUUUUCAAUAAAUUAUUAAAGUUCACAAAAAGUCAUGUGUUAAAACAAUCACAAAACGUUGAAAGCUAUUACGUAAACAUAUAAGCAUUUAAUGCAAAAUAUAUUGAUUGUCUUUUAGGCAUAAUAAAUAAACAAAUAUCAAUCAUGAA